CACGUAGGCACCAAGCGUUGUCCGGAAUCAUUGGGCGUAAAGAGCGUGUAGGCGGCCCGAUAAGUCCGCUGUGAAAGUCCAGGGCUCAACCCUGGAAUGCCGGUGGAUACUGUCGGGCUCGAAUCCGGAAGAGGUGAGUGGAAUUCCUGGUGUAGCGGUGAAAUGCGCAGAUAUCAGGAGGAACACCAAUGGCGAAGGCAGCUCACUGGGACGGUAUUGACGCUGAGACGCGAAAGCGUGGGGAGCAAACAGG
rnacentral:rRNA from 1 species